GAGGCCGUCGUAUAUUGGUAGUAUAGAGGCCUGUGGGGCCUUCGGAGCGGGUUCGAUUCCCGCCGGUCUCC
rnacentral:tRNA from 1 species